AUGGUAUAGUGAGGAUACCUUCUCAGGAAAUCCUUAAAUCUCUCCUAUAUAUCAUAAAGAGUCUCAAUAUCAAAUUAAACAAAAGAAGAGAUAUCAUUCCUCAACUU
rfam:Gossypium raimondii chromosome 10, whole genome shotgun sequence.